UACGUAGGGUGCAGGCGUUAAUCGGAAUUACUGGGCGUAAAGCGUGCGCAGGCGGUUUGCUAAGUCAGGUGUGAAAUCCCCGGGCUUAACCUGGGAACUGCGCUUGUAACUGGCAAGCUAGAGUGUGGCAGAGGGGGGUGGAAUUCCAGGUGUAGCAGUGAAAUGCGUAGAGAUCUGGAGGAACACCGACGGCGAAGGCAGCCCCCUGGGCUAACACUGACGCUGAGGUGCGAAAGCGUGGGGAGCAAACAGG
rnacentral:rRNA from 1 species